AUGUGAAUAUCAUUUAAAAGCAGCUGAUCGGUAUCCAAAGAUCUUUCACUCUUUGUUCAAAUGAAUUUCACUUAGAUUUACCCCAUUUGACUUUUCUUUUGAUUUCGAAGUGGAAAGCACGUUAGAUUGGAAUGUUUUGGUUUGAAAUGAGUGUGGCAAAAAAAAUCAUUAGUAAGAUGGCCACGGACGAAGCCGGUGAAAAAUUUGCGGUUCGAAGCAAACUAUUCUUUUUGCCAACAAAUUACUUAAGUUUACAUAUUUCUGCGCUGGUGAAAAUCAGGUUCCGGUCAGAGGUCGUCUAAAGAAUCUGCUCCGAUUCGGAGCUGUUAGUUCGGGCGAAAAAUUGCAAGUGGUGUUUUCGAGAUUCACCAUGGACAUCACUACGCAUCCGCCAGCUGCCGGAUCGGGAAGUGUUUGAUGGUCUUGGACACUUUUGCUCGAAAAGCUUGAACCCGUUCGCGAACGAGAUGGACCGUGACGUUACACCGGCUCAGCAGAGGUCAUGUAUUGCACAGAUCGGUAAAACGCCCUCGGAACCUGGUCCGCAUUCUUCAACGCAGCAGUGAAAUUUAAUGUAUGUGAAGUAAAUUGUGUGAUUUUGUGCAAUGUAUAAGUUUUUAUUUCGAAAAAUAAAUCUUAUUUAUAUUUGAAA